CCUACGGGAGGCAGCAGUGGGGAAUAUUGCACAAUGGGGGCAACCCUGAUGCAGCGACGCCGCGUGAAGGAUGAAGUAUUUCGGUAUGUAAACUUCUAUCAGCAGGGAAGAAAAUGACGGUACCUGACUAAGAAGCCCCGGCUAACUCCGUGCCAGCAGCCGCGGUAAUACGUAGGGGGCAAGCGUUAUCCGGAAUUACUGGGUGUAAAGGGAGUGUAGACGGUAUGGCAAGUCUGAUGUGAAAACCCGGGGCGCAACCCCGGGACUGCAUUGGAAACUGCCGAACUAGAGUGUCGGAGAGGCGAGUGGAAUUCCAGGUGUAGCGGUGAAAUGCGUAGAGAUUAGGAGGAACACCAGUGGCGAAGGCGGCUUGCUGGACGAUGACUGACGUUGAGGCUCGAAAGCGUGGGGAGCAAACAGGAUUAGAUACCCCUGUAGUC
rnacentral:rRNA from 1 species